UAUUUAGACUCAUUUGCCGGACACCUUUUAGAAUGUAGCACUUAUUUACACGGCAGCUUGCCCCACACCACUUUCCACCAGAUUGAUUAUCUUAGCUCUCGGUGUAGUAGUCAUCUUUCAGAUCCAUCCAUACAACUUUCAAUUCUUUCCCGGUUGGUACUGAGAACCGCAUAAGCAUCUCUUGCUUUAAUAUAAUCAAACAU
rnacentral:lncRNA from 1 species